CAGUGUCAGAAACUUGUCCUUCAAAAAUCACCCACUGAGGAAAGCAGAUCCUUCUGCCAGGAUGUGAAGGGACAACAUGAGGAACGGACUCCAGGUACCAGACUUUGCCUCUGUUAUCCAAAUGUGGAUUCUUUAAAUUAUGGAGAAGCACAACACCCGUUUAUCUUAUUAAGAUUCCUGGGCACCAGAGGUCUGCCAUUCAAAUCAACGCCUGCUAACAUUGGGCUUGAUUAAAGGAAGCUAACUAAGCCUUUUGAAGGAUACCCUCCAGCCUUCCCUCUCUGUUUCCAUGUUCCCUUGGCAGAAAUCAGGGAUUUGAAAGCUGCAAUUCAACAGCAUUAUCCUUUCAUCUCGUGGAACACUGAUCAUCCUGCCACACCAAAGCACCACUCAUCCCUACCAAGGGCUGGCAGCAAUUAUGCUGUAACAGAGGUACGUUUAAG